UACGGAGGGUGCGAGCGUUUGUCCGGAAUCAUUGGGCGUAAAGGGCGCGUAGGUGGCGGGACAAGCGUGCGGUGAAAGCCUGGGGCUCAACCCCGGGUCGGCCGUGCGAACUGUUUUUUGCUUGAGCACUGUAGAGGCAGGCGGAAUUCCGGGUGUAGCGGUGGAAUGCGUAGAGAUCCGGAAGAACACCGGUGGCGAAGGCGGCCUGCUGGGCAGUAGCUGACACUGAGGCGCGACAGCGUGGGGAGCAAACAGG
rnacentral:rRNA from 1 species